UACGUAGGCAGCAAGCGUUGUUCGGAAUUACUGGGCGUAAAGAGUGUGUAGGCGGUGCUCCAAGUCUGUUGUGAAAUCUCCCGGCUUAACUGGGAGGGUGCGGCGGAAACUGGAGUGCUUGAGUGUGGGAGAGGUAAGCGGAAUUCCUGGUGUAGCGGUGAAAUGCGUAGAUAUCAGGAGGAACACCUGUGGUGUAGACAGCUUACUGGACCACGACUGACGCUGAGACACGAAAGCGUGGGUAGCAAACAGG
rnacentral:rRNA from 1 species